GAUGAACGCUGGCUACAGGCUUAACACAUGCAAGUCGAGGGGAAACGACGGGGAAGCUUGCUUCCCCGGGCGUCGACCGGCGCACGGGUGAGUAACGCGUAUCCAACCUGCCUCUGACUGAGGGAUAACCCGUCGAAAGUCGGCCUAAUACCUCAUGGCAUCGUCUGCGGGCAUCCAACGACGAUUAAAGAUUUCAUCGGUCAGGGAUGGGGAUGCGUCUGAUUAGCUAGUUGGCGGGGUAACGGCCCACCAAGGCUACGAUCAGUAGGGGUUCUGAGAGGAAGGUCCCCCACAUUGGAACUGAGACACGGUCCAAACUCCUACGGGAGGCAGCAGUGAGGAAUAUUGGUCAAUGGGCGAGAGCCUGAACCAGCCAAGUAGCGUGCAGGAUGACGGCCCUAUGGGUUGUAAACUGCUUUUAUGCGGGGAUAAAGUGAGGGACGUGUCCUUCAUUGCAGGUACCGCAUGAAUAAGGACCGGCUAAUUCCGUGCCAGCAGCCGCGGUAAUACGGAAGGUCCAGGCGUUAUCCGGAUUUAUUGGGUUUAAAGGGAGCGUAGGCCGUGGAUUAAGCGUGUUGUGAAAUGCAGGUGCUCAACGUCUGCACUGCAGCGCGAACUGGUCCACUUGAGUGUGCGCAACGCAGGCGGAAUUCGUCGUGUAGCGGUGAAAUGCUUAGAUAUGACGAAGAACUCCGAUUGCGAAGGCAGCUUGCGGGAGCACAACUGACGCUGAAGCUCGAAAGUGCGGGUAUCGAACAGG
rnacentral:rRNA from 1 species